AGAGUUUGAUCCUGGCUCAGAAUGAACGCUGGCGGCGUGCCUAACACAUGCAAGUCGGAUGUGCCGCAAGGUGCAUGGCAGACGGGUGAGUAACGCGUAGGGAAUCUACCUUUUUGUGGGGAAUAACGCUCCGAAAGGAGUGGUAAUACCGCAUGAGACCGUGGCCUGGGAUGGUUACGGUGAAACCUGGGGACCGCAAGGCCUGGGGCAAAGAGAGGAUCCUGCGUCUGAUUAGUUAGUUGGUGGGGUAACGGCCUACCAAGACAUCGAUCAGUAGCCGGCCUGAGAGGGUGAUCGGCCACACUGGAACUGAGACACGGUCCAGACUCCUACGGGAGGCAGCAGUGGGGAAUUUUGCGCAAUGGACGAAAGUCUGACGCAGCAACGCCGCGUGGGUGAUGAAGGUCUUCGGAUCGUAAAACCCUGUCGUCGGGGACGAAGGUGGGCUUGUUAAUAGCGAGUUUACUUGACGGUACCCGGAGAGGAAGCCCCGGCUAACUCUGUGCCAGCAGCCGCGGUAAUACAGAGGGGGCAAGCGUUAUUCGGAAUUAUUGGGCGUAAAGGGUGCGUAGGCGGUCGUUUAAGUAGGAUGUGUAAUCCCCGGGCUUAACCUGGGAACUGCAUCCUAGACUGGACGACUUGAGUACUGGAGAGGGUGGUAGAAUUCCACGUGUAGCGGUGAAAUGCGUAGAGAUGUGGAGGAAUACCAGUGGCGAAGGCGGCCACCUGGACAGUAACUGACGCUGAGGCACGAAAGUGUGGGUAGCAAACAGGAUUAGAUACCCUGGUAGUCC
rnacentral:rRNA from 1 species